UACGUAGGUGGCAAGCGUUAUCCGGAAUUAUUGGGCGUAAAGCGCGCGCAGGCGGUUUCUUAAGUCUGAUGUGAAAGCCCACGGCUCAACCGUGGAGGGUCAUUGGAAACUGGGGAACUUGAGUGCAGGAGAGAAGAGUGGAAUUCCACGUGUAGCGGUGAAAUGCGUAGAGAUGUGGAGGAACACCAGUGGCGAAGGCGACUCUUUGGCCUGUAACUGACGCUGGAGGCGCGAAAGCGUGGGGAGCAAACAGG
rnacentral:rRNA from 1 species